CGUAGGAUCCAAGCGUUAUCCGGAAUCACUGGGCGUAAAGCGUGCGUAGGCGGGUGUCCGCGUGAGAUGCGAAAUUCGGUGGCUCAACCAUCUGGACUGUAUUUCAUACGGGGCGCCUAGAGGCAGGCAGAGGCAAGCGGAAUUAGUAGUGUAGCAGUGAAAUGCGUAGAUAUUACUAGGAACACCAAUGGCGAAGGCAGCUUGCUGGGCCUUUCCUGACGCUGAGGUACGAAAGCGUGGGUAGCGAACAGGAUUAGAUACCCUGGUAGUCCACGCCGUAAACGAUGGGUGCUAAUAGUUCGGGGUAUCGACCCCCUGGGCUGUGAAGCUAACGCGUUAAGCACCCCGCCUGGGGAGUACGAGCGCAAGCUUA
rnacentral:rRNA from 1 species